rnacentral:misc_RNA from 1 species
UCCAAACAUAAUUGCAUAAUAACUUUUACAACAUCCAACAUAAUAAGUUAUUAUAGUCCCAGAAAAAGUUACACUACUGGUACACGCGGAGUUUCUAAAAUAUAAAUAAGGAAAUAAGAACAUAAUAAAUCUGCUUCUAGUAAACUUGCGAGGAAGAAAGUAGGCUAAUCUCAAAGAGCUCUCCUGUCACAGAUUUGGUUGACCCGACUACAGCUAAUUUAGCUGGAAGGGAGAAGGCUGGUCAGCACUGAUCACUUGGAUAGAAGAAAACUUUGCUACCUUGAUUGAUUCUGCUCCUGUUCAUCAUCUUCCUCCCCUUCUCUCUCUAAUUUCUUGCUUUUCAGAUCAUUCUUUCUCUCUUUCCCUUGCCGGUGUCCUUUCUUGCUAGAGAAACCUCAAAAAUUCUGCCAACUUCCCCUCCUCUUUCCUUUCUUCUUCCUCUCCUUCUUUCUCUCUUCUUUUCCUUUCCUUUUCU